AUGAUGUUUGGAAAAGGGAAAGCCCCUUUUUUUCCAAGCGAUCUUACUAUUUUUCCUGUGGCUAUUCAUUUUGGCUGUUGCACUAUAGGCUGGUUUGCUUUCAUGUUUUGCUUAAUUAAUUGCUCAGUCUUUAGAGGCCUGAAAACAACGAAACCACUGAAACAAGGAAAAGAGCAAAUGAGUGUCUGGAGAGCAGACGAUUAUAUGAAGAGCUGGAUGGGUGUGUGGAGGAGGGUGUUUGUUCUCUGCUGCCGGCCUUGGUGGGACAAUAGCGAGCUUCUGAAGCGCAGAGUGGUGGGAUGAAGAAGAUGAGGAGUCAAUGAGUGAAGAGGAGGCAGCGAUAUGUCAGCUCUUGACCCAACCAUGACUGUAGGAGGCCUGACUCAAUUACACUGCACAGCCCAGGACUGCAAUAUGGGAUAAAGUCCUGCUAAUUAUCUUGCUACAAAUGUCAGUUUCCUAUUUGAUUCUUUUAGAGAUGACAUGUGUGCAUUCUUCAGCAUUAAAAUGUUCUGUAUCUAUGCCAUAUUAGUAAACCAUUUGUAGAUUCUGCUAAAAAGUGAUGAGAAAUUACACUGUAAAGGUACAGUAAGGUGACAUUAAACCAUUGAAACAGUUUUAGUAAUUAAAUUAACGUAAAAUUAAUCAUAUUAAUCAUAUACAGUAUCUUCAUAUAAUAUAUCAUUGUCAGGAUUAUGGACCUGUUUUGGUGGGUUUUUCUUCCCCAUGUGCUCCGUGACAUAGUAUUCCCUCAUGUUUCAUUAUGUCAUUUGAUUCAGGUGUGUCCCGUUAAUUAUCCUCAUUUAGUUCUGUUUUUAAAGUGCUGUCUGUGCCUUGGUUCCUUUGUACGGUGUCUUCUAUACAAGUGCUACGUGUGUUCCUGCCUGCCCUGUGUUACUCUGGUUGUGGAUUAUUAAAGACUGUUAUUGGUGAGACUCCUUCAUCUUCGUUCUCCUUCGCUCCCGCACAGUAGCACUGUGACAAUCAUCAUAUAAUUUUCAGUCAUUAUUUUGUAGCCAUUCUAAGAAGUUUGCAGCCCUGAUUCCAAAAUAUAUCAUAAUUUGAAUCCCUGAUUAUAUAAGGUAUUUUCUAACAAUAAAUAAAUAAUUAUUCCCUAUUAUUAUUAUUAU
ensembl:lncRNA